GGCGAACGCUGGCGGCGUGCUUAACACAUGCAAGUCGAACGAUGAAGCUCCAGCUUGCUGGGGUGGAAGAGUGGCGAACGGGUGAGUAACACGUGAGUAACCUGCCCCUCACUCUGGGAUAAGCGCUGGAAACGGCGUCUAAUACUGGAUAUGCAUCACGGCCGCAUGGUCAGUGAUGGGAAAGAUUUAUCGGUGGGGGAUGGACUCGCGGCCUAUCAGCUUGAUGGUGAGGUAAUGGCUCACCAUGGCGACGACGGGUAGCCGGCCUGAGAGGGUGACCGGCCACACUGGGACUGAGACACGGCCCAGACUCCUACGGGAGGCAGCAGUGGGGAAUAUUGCACAAUGGGCGCAAGCCUGAUGCAGCAACGCCGCGUGAGGGAUGACGGCCUUCGGGUUGUAAACCUCUUUUAGUAGGGAAGAAGCGAAAGUGACGGUACCUGCAGAAAAAGCACCGGCUAACUACGUGCCAGCAGCCGCGGUAAUACGUAGGGUGCAAGCGUUGUCCGGAAUUAUUGGGCGUAAAGAGCUCGUAGGCGGCUUGUCGCGUCUGCUGUGAAAUCCCGGGGCUCAACCCCGGGCCUGCAGUGGGUACGGGCAGGCUAGAGUGCGGUAGGGGAGAUUGGAAUUCCUGGUGUAGCGGUGGAAUGCGCAGAUAUCAGGAGGAACACCGAUGGCGAAGGCAGAUCUCUGGGCCGUAACUGACGCUGAGGAGCGAAAGCAUGGGGAGCGAACAGGAUUAGAUACCCUGGUAGUCCAUGCCGUAAACGUUGGGAACUAGAUGUAGGGCCUGUUCCACGGGUUCUGUGUCGUAGCUAACGCAUUAAGUUCCCCGCCUGGGGAGUACGGCCGCAAGGCUAAAACUCAAAGGAAUUGACGGGGGCCCGCACAAGCGGCGGAGCAUGCGGAUUAAUUCGAUGCAACGCGAAGAACCUUACCAAGGCUUGACAUAUACGAGAACGGGCCAGAAAUGGUCAACUCUUUGGACACUCGUAAACAGGUGGUGCAUGGUUGUCGUCAGCUCGUGUCGUGAGAUGUUCGGUUAAGUCCGGCAACGAGCGCAACCCUCGCCCUAUGUUGCCAGCACGUAAUGGUGGGAACUCAUGGGAUACUGCCGUGGUCAACACGGAGGAAGGUGGGGAUGACGUCAAAUCAUCAUGCCCCUUAUGUCUUGGGCUUCACGCAUGCUACAAUGGCCGAUACAAAGGGCUGCGAUACCGCGAGGUGGAGCGAAUCCCAAAAAGUCGGUCUCAGUUCGGAUUGGGGUCUGCAACUCGACCCCAUGAAGUCGGAGUCGCUAGUAAUCGCAGAUCAGCAACGCUGCGGUGAAUACGUUCCCGGGCCU
rnacentral:rRNA from 1 species